AACUCUGAGCAGUGGAUCACUCGGCUCACGGGUCGAUGAAGAACGCAGCUUGCUGCGAUAAUUGGUGUGAAUUGCAGGACACAUUGAACACCGAACUUUCGAACGCGCAUAGCGGCCUCCGGUCUUCCGGGACUGGAGGCCUCGCCUGUUUGAGGGUC
rnacentral:rRNA from 1 species